GAAAUGCGAUAAGUAAUGUGAAUUGCAGAAUUCAGUGAAUCAUCGAAUCUUUGAACGCACAUUGCGCCCGCCAGCAUUCUGGCGGGCAUGCCUGUCCGAGCGUCAUUUCAACCCUCGCGCCCCCCCGGGGGCGCGGCGUUGGGGACCGGCCCGCCCCGGGCGGCGCCGCCCCCCAAAUCCAGUGGCGGCCACGCCGCUGCCUCCCCUGCGCAGUAGCACAACUCGCACCGGAGCGCGGCGCGGCCACGCCGUAAAACCCCCGACCCCAAGACUUUGACCUCGGAUCAGGUAGGAAUACCCGCUGAACUUAA
rnacentral:misc_RNA from 1 species